rnacentral:misc_RNA from 1 species
UGUAAAUGCAGAUGGACCAUAGAAAAAAUAACACACACACACAAGUAGGGAAAGAAAUUGAUUAAAAAGAGAGAGAGAGAAAAAGAAGGGUGCACCCAAUCCUGUUAUCUGUGCAUUAGCCAUCGAGAGCCUAUACAAAAUAUAGAGUCACAAGUCUUUUGGUACGAGUCUUUAGGAUAUAAGAUAAAAAGAAAAAUUGAAAACCACAAGUUUUUAGGAGAUGAAAGGUUGAAAAUAAUAAAAUAAUUUUGGGGCCACAAAGCUAAGGACUAUAAAUAAUUAUUUCUCUAAUUUAUCCAUCCGGGCUCCCUGUCCAUGCAAGUUUGCUAAUAAAUCAGCCUACUGAUGAUAUGAUCCAUCAGAUUUAAUUUAAUUUAUCUUUUUAUACAAAUUAAGUUUUACUGUUUCAAGUCUCAUUCAUUUUUAUCUUUAAAAUUAUUAAAUUAAGAAUUUAAAUAUAAUAUAAAACAUAUACAAAACUUGCCUUUUAUGUCUUAAUUUAAACAGCUGAAAAGUAAAAGAAAGG